UGUAAUAACUUAUCCCAGUAGGGGUGUUGGGGGUCGGUGGGGACGCCCGCCGCACUCCAAGCGGGGACGCCCGCAGGGUUCUUCGGCGCCUAGGGCGCGCGCGCCGCGUCUGGUUGCGUCUUAAAGGCGCAGGCGCGCUGACGUAUGACGUCAGCGCGCAAAGGCGCGAAUUUCAAAUGUAUAUAAAGGUACA